UACGUAGGGCGCAAGCGUUGUCCGGAAUUAUUGGGCGUAAAGAGCUCGUAGGCGGCCUGUUGCGUCCGCUGUGAAAUCCCGGGGCUCAACCUCGGACUUGCAGUGGGUACGGGCAGACUAGAGUGUGGUAGGGGAGACUGGAAUUCCUGGUGUAGCGGUGGAAUGCGCAGAUAUCAGGAGGAACACCGAUGGCGAAGGCAGGUCUCUGGGCCAUUACUGACACUGAGAAGCGAAAGCAUGGGGAGCGAACAGG
rnacentral:rRNA from 1 species